UUGUAGGGGGAUACACAGGAUGAACGGGCUU
rnacentral:piRNA from 1 species